CAUAUCAAUAAGCGGAGGAAAAGAAACCAACAGGGAUUGCCCCAGUAACGGCGAGUGAAGCGGCAACAGCUCAAAUUUGAAAUCUGGUCCCUAGGGCCCGAGUUGUAAUUUGUAGAGGAUGCUUUUGGUGAGGUGCCGCCCGAGUUCCCUGGAACGGGACGCCACAGAGGGUGAGAGCCCCGUCUGGCUGGCCGCCGAGCCUCUGUAAAGCUCCUUCGACGAGUCGAGUAGUUUGGGAAUGCUGCUCAAAAUGGGAGGUAUAUGUCUUCUAAAGCUAAAUAUUGGCCAGAGACCGAUAGCGCACAAGUAGAGUGAUCGAAAGAUGAAAAGCACCUUGAAAAGAGGGUUAAAUAGUACGUGAAAUUGUUGAAAGGGAAGCGCUUGUGACCAGACUUGGGCGCGGCGGAUCAUCCGGGGUUCUCUCCGGUGCACUUCGCCGCGUCUAGGCCAGCAUCAGUUCGUCGCGGGGGAAAAAGGCUUCGGGAACGUGGCUCCUCCGGGAGUGUUAUAGCCCGUUGCAUAAUACCCUGCGGUGGACUGAGGACCGCGCAUCUGCAAGGAUGCUGGCGUAAUGGUCACCAGCGACCCGUCUUGAAACACGGACCAAGGAGUCGUCUUCGUAUGCGAGUGUUCGGGUGUCAAACCCCUACGCGUAAUGAAAGUGAACGCAGGUGAGAGCUUCGGCGCAUCAUCGACCGAUCCUGAUGUUCUCGGAUGGAUUUGAGUAAGAGCAUACGGGGCCGGACCCGAAAGAAGGUGAACUAUGCCUGUAUAGGGUGAAGCCAGAGGAAACUCUGGUGGAGGCUCGCAGCGGUUCUGACGUGCAAAUCGAUCGUCAAAUAUGGGCAUGGGGGCGAAAGACUAAUCGAACCUUCUAGUAGCUGG
rnacentral:rRNA from 1 species